GGGGCUGUGCUGGAUUAAGUGUGCAUUGCAUGAAUCAUCUCUGCUUUUGGCACCAUUGGGUUUUUUGGCACCAUUGGGCUUUCUCCAUCCCCUCCCAGAGGUGGGCUGCCGUAUCCAUUUCUGGUGGCUUUCCCUCCUGCUGGUGGCUUGCAUUUCUCCUCGGCCUCCUCUCCUGGCACAAGCCUCUCCUGCUGCGGCCAAGAGCUCGCUGCGGUCAGUACGUGCUGGAAGGGGGUGGAUGAGGCUGAGUCAGGCUGUCAUCCUCCUCCUGCCUCUUUGGAAGUUUUUUCUUGCAAAAGGUUUUUAACAGAUUGACAUAUCUGGGUUUUCUGCUUUGUUCUCCCUUCCUCCCUCCCUAGGCACUUGCACCAAGACACACGAGUCAUCAGUAGCCCCAGCGAAAGAUGCACUACCAUCGGCGGCCAGAUGGAAGGUUAUAGUAGCACCUCGUAAUUAUGGAGUCAAGAUCUGCGCCCUGUCCUACCAGAAGGAGAAAAAAAUAAAGAUAGGAAGCUUCUCCUCUUUGUGCCUGUUCGCUUGGUACACGGCUUCUCUCUCUGCGGACAAGUCUGCAGCGAUUUCUCCCACAGACUUACUUCCCUGAAGCACUGGGUAUGGGAGGGGACUGUCUGGAAGCACUGCUUUUUAUAAUUUAUAUCUUGCUAACAGCAUGCUAGGUACUAUAUUCCAAAGAGCUCAAGGAUCUUAGGUGAUGAUAUGCGCAGGUAAAAAAAAAAAUAAUAAUAAUAAAGGAUCAUGCUGGAUUAUAACCUGCCAUAAAAUCUGGACAGAGUGCAUGCAAGGUGGAUGGUCUAAAAGCAGACCCAAGGAGACACGAGGUCCCGAUUAGGCAUACCUAAAAGCAUUUUUUCAAGUUUUAAUAUCUGUACUUCUAAGGUAUUGCAUUUCAUCUUGCUCAGAUUUGAAAUGGCUUCCCCAGGCUUGUCAGCAGGAAAAGGGGAAGGAGCGUACUCCCCUCGAAGUCUGGAACUGAAGUCUGGUUUUCUUCAGGUUUCAGACCAGAUCCAGCUUUGCUUUGGGAAUGCGAGCCGCGCUGGCCUUUUCGUCACACCUCGGGGCGCUGAGUGAAUUCAAGCUGCAGCAACUUGACUUUUGGGGCAGGUGGGGAAGUUGCAGGUUUAUGGUGAGCAGAAGAGGUGGUGAAGUGUUUUACAGCAGCUUUUGCCCCAGCCCAGAAAUGAAGCCACCUCCUCUCAUCCCCCUGGUGAGGAAUUGGCUGCUCGGGAAUUUAAGGAGUGUGACAUCCAGGUCUGGAAGUCAGUCACAGCUUUGGCCCUUCUCAGAUUCAAAAACUGUCCACCUAAUCUAAAUCCAGCACAUCUGGCACAAGGGCGAGCCGCCAGCCAGAUAGGUGUGAAACCAUUCACCGAAAAUAGCCGAGCACCUAAGGGGCCGGGAGGUGAUGAGGAGCCUUCUGAACCAUCACUGCUGCAGGGUACCAGCCUGCUGUUUGCAUCCACUUUGGAGCAAAGUUAAAAAGGCUAAUUAACACCUCCGUCACCGGGACCUUCAGACCCAUCCCUUCAGCGUGCCCUCGAAACCAGCUGGGAUCUGUGGCUUGGCCCCAGCUGAGAGGGAGCAAACUCCUGAGAUCGCCUGGCUCAGUGCAAAGUCACUCACCUGCAGCUCUGCGUGGUCCAUCCCUGGCCUCACUGUGCCACAUAUAACCGGCCAGGCAGCUUGCUUUUAUUUCCCAAUACCAUACAGAGAGUGCUAGCCUCAGUAUCUUUGCUCUCAGAAUUAAAUCAGCCUCCCAGCCCGUGCUGCGUUGCCGCUAGGCCCUCAUUUGCCUGACCGGGUGGCACGGCACAUCUUUGGGAACGUGUUGGCUCCGUGAGAGCCAGAUUCCUUUUCUCAAUGGAAAAUUUUAAGCUAUUCCCACCAGUGACAUCACGGCGUUCUCCACUCCCACAGCCACAAAGGCGCAUAUUGAUGGGCAUGACAUUUCCCUUUAAUGCUUUCAUUGUUUCCAGCAUUUCGUUUGGGCUGUUGCUUGAAGCCAAAAAAACAAGACAAAAGGCAAAGUAUGUUAAAGGGAGACCCGGGCUGCGUGCAAAAAUGUCGCACGAGAGAAUCUCUGACUCCAGGCAAUUUUGGGGGAAUUUGCUUUCCAUGGGGCUUCUCCCGAGUGAUUUAGGAUAACUGGAACUGCCACCUCCUUCCUCUGACUUGCUUCAGGCUCGUGCUUGGGCAUUGCUGCGCUACGCGGGGAUCUGGCACGGGCUUUCAGAGCCUAUUUUAAAAGAUUUGUGUCAGCUGCAUCGAAGAGCAAACUAAUGGGAGCUCCUGAACCACGCCAAGCUUGCCUUGUGGACUCCUCAGGACUGGGACCCUGCAUCCUCAAGGGACGUUUGUGCAUUUGGUGCAGGGCAGAAAGGAGAAGGGGAGCGGUGACCUUAGCACCACGUACCUUACUAAAGAGAUAGCAAGGCUCGGAGCGGACUUUGAUUUUGCCUCUUGCAGUAUCGAUCCGAGUUCCGUAUUGUUGGCCUUUCAGGGAAAUUCAGGGCAGGGUUGGGCACUGAGUUUCCUGAGCACAUUAGUCAUCAGAAAGGAGGGAGCUGAAGAGUGUGGCUGGUGGGGGUGAGCUCUGGGGCUGUGUGUGAGGAUCUUUGCAAGACCCUCAGCACUUUCAAGCUGCAGCUCCUUCAACAGCGAGGACUGACUCAGAAGUUAAAUCAAACCUCUGGCUGCGCAGAGUCCCCUGCACUUUACGUGGAACACUUACCUGGGCUGAGACACUGCUGCAGGGGACAACCUGUUUCCUUUUGCCUGUUACCAGCAUGGAAGGGGACAAGUUAGUUACUGAAUUGUCUGGGGAAUGGGAUGGAGGUCAGGAAAGCAUGGUGUGCCAGAAAAUGGGAGAGAGGUCUGGGGAGAGGGCUCACGUGAGAGGGUUCGAUGGGAGAUGAGGACCUGGCAGCAAGGUGAGCUGAGGCUGGGCCAAGCCCUGCUGAAAAUGGCCUUUGUUACUUGGCAGCAGCAGCCCCAAAUGCCCUUUUCAUUUUCCUUCUUCCAUGGAAUUACUUCAGACAAACAGAACUGAACCAAAACAGCCGUGCCUUUCACCACGGGAGCUCUCACGUCCAGGGUCAGCAGGGAGGGACGGCUUGUGUCUGCCCACAUGCAGGUUCUGGUGGGUCAUGAUCCUUCCUGAGCCCUGGAGAAGGCUGUGGAUAUUUUAAUCAUAAAUUCCAACCCCGGACAAUUUCAUUUGCACCAUUAGCCAUGCUUUGUCCCGGCACAAAGCAGCUCCUCUGGAGUGAGGCUGCACGGGCACGAGUUACAGCGAUGGCUGGGGACGGUGCCUGGGGCUUUCCACCUGCCCCACUGCUGUGUAGCAGCUGAGAGGAGCCUCCAAAACCAACUUAAUAAGGCAGCCUCUUGGAAGGGAGCCGCAUGGAUACCUGUCCCAUCCCUGUCCUUGGGCAUCCAGCCCCAGGAAGGGGCUUCAGGGCUCCCAAACCCCAGCUCACACCUCAGGUCUCCAUCUCCAGGACCCGAGAGCCUUGGCUGAGAUGGCAGACUUCAGGAUCUUGGCCAAGAGGAACCAGAUAAUAAGCCCUAGAAAAGCUGGCACAGCGGUUUCUGCUCACAUUGCAGGUCCCGUGUGUCAGCCUGCUUAGCUGGGCAGGGAUCCUGUCUGCCCAAAGCAGGGUGACACAGGGCCUGGGGCAUCGCCCCCGAGCCGGGACAGAGACCAUCCUUGGGUCCCGGUGCCUGCAAGGGAGACAAGUCUGCUGCUCUGAAUUGGCAGCUCCCUUCUCCUCCCGGCUCCUUCCGUCUCCAGGAAAGGAAGCCAAUUUCCUUUGCAAAGUAAUCUGAGCUCCAGGAGUUAAAAGUGCUAUUUAAAGAGCGAGGCGAUGCUGCCUGCCGUACGAGGAGCUCACGGUUUGGAGAAAGCUCUCCGCCUCCGUGUGUAAAAACUAGGCUAAUAAUGGUUUUCUGCCUCACGCAAGCUGGUGGGAAUUAAUUAAUUUUAAAAGCAGUUGGAAGCACAGCCACAACAUAGGUGCUAAUUUUUAUUUAUUAAUAUUUCAUGUUCGCAAUACAGGACUAAUUAUGUGCAUGGCAAAGAGUGCAUUUUCCAUGCUAUUAACUCAAUCUUAAAGGUUUAGAUAGCACUUACAUUUAUCUGUACCUCAAAAAAAAAAAAAAAAAAGCAUUGCAUGAGAUGAAAA